GAUGAACGCUAGCUACAGGCUUAACACAUGCAAGUCGCGGGGCAGCAUUUUCUUAGCUUGCUAAGGAAGAUGGCGACCGGCGCACGGGUGAGUAACGCGUAUCCAACCUUCCCAUGUCCACGGGAUAGCCCGUCGAAAGGCGGAUUAAUACCGUAUGAGGUCACAUGCGGGCAUCUAAGUGUGACGAAAGGUUUAGCGGACAUGGAUGGGGAUGCGUCCGAUUAGCUAGUUGGCGGGGUAACGGCCCACCAAGGCGACGAUCGGUAGGGGUUCUGAGAGGAAGGUCCCCCCACAUUGGAACUGAGACACGGUCCAAACUCCUACGGGAGGCAGCAGUGAGGAAUAUUGGUCAAUGGACGUAAGUCUGAACCAGCCAAGUAGCGUGCAGGAUGACGGCCCUAUGGGUUGUAAACUGCUUUUAUGCGGGGAUAAAGUGUGGGACGUGUCCCAUAUUGCAGGUACUGCAUGAAUAAGGACCGGCUAAUUCCGUG
rnacentral:rRNA from 1 species